GGCCUAUUCGUCUAACGGUCAGGACGCAAGAUUCUCAUUCUUGAAAUAGGAGUUCGAUUCUCCUAUAGGCUG
rnacentral:tRNA from 1 species